rnacentral:rRNA from 1 species
GCAAGUCGAGCGAGAAAGGGACUUCGGUCCUGAGUAAAGCGGCGGACGGGUGAGCAAUACGUAGGUAACCUGCCUUUCAGUGGGGGACAACGGUCCGAAAGGACCGCUAAUACCGCAUCCGUCGCUCGGGACUCCGGUCCUGAGCGGGAAAGCCGGGGCAACCUGGCGCUGGAAGAGGGGCCUACGUCGCAUCAGCUAGUUGGUAGGGUAAUGGCCUACCAAGGCUAAGACGCGUAGCUGGUCUGAGAGGAUGAUCAGCCACACUGGGACUGAGACACGGCCCAGACUCCUACGGGAGGCAGCAGUGGGGAAUAUUGGACAAUGGGCGCAAGCCUGAUCCAGCCACGCCGCGUGAGUGAUGAAGGCCUUCGGGUCGUAAAGCUCUGUGGGGAGGGACGAACCGCCGCUGGCUAAUAUCCAGCGGCAUGACGGUACCUCCUUAGCAAGCACCGGCUAACUUCGUGCCAGCAGCCGCGGUAA